rnacentral:lncRNA from 1 species
CUUCACCACUCCCAGAUUUUAACUUGUGGGUGAACUCUCUGUCACAUACAACUGUUAUGAUGGAUAUCUUCCUUGCAGCAUAAUUCGGGUUGUGCAGGGCCAUAUCCAUUGCCACUGAGAUGACUGUCCA